rnacentral:rRNA from 1 species
AUGAACGCUGGCGGCGUGGAUAAGGCAUGCAAGUCGAACGGUUUUCUUUAUUGAAGAAGAUGCGAUUACAUCAAAUUAACAGAUAUUUUGAAAGCAGUGGCGAACGAGCUAGUAACACCUUGGUACGUACCCGAAAGUUUGGUAUAGCUCGCCGAAAGGCGGGGUAAUCCCAAAUAGUCCCUUCAUCUAUCGGAUGAUAGGGUAAAGUAGCAAUACGCUUUCGGAUCGGCCUAGGUCCGAUCAGUUAGUUGGUGAGGUAAUGGCUCACCAAGACAAUGACCGGUAGGGG